rnacentral:lncRNA from 1 species
GAAUGACAUAAAUAAAAAAGGAGGGUAAUAGUCUCUUGCUCAGAAUGACAUAAAAGGUACAUAUUGUUGUUGGAUGUGGCCUGCGUGAUUUAUUCAAGAUGAUCCAUAAAAAUACAGUCGAUCAAAUGGUUAGGAUGCAUAUGGGCACCAGUAUUUAGAAAUCGAAAUUAUAGUAAUCGACGGUACGUCCCUAGCGCAAGUGGCAAAGAGCUUGGUGGUUGGUACCCGAGGUCUCAAAUUCGAAUCCUAAUUGAUUCACAUUACUCGCUAAGUUUAUUUUUAAAUAAAGUAAACGAGAUGGAUAGCGUGUUACCUAUCUCUCUCUCUAAAAAAAAAAAAAAAAAAUCAUAGUUGAAGGUACAAUUUUAAUUUUUGUAUGGUCUAAC